UACGUAGGGUCCGAGCGUUGUCCGGAAUUAUUGGGCGUAAAGAGCUCGUAGGCGGUUUGUCGCGUCUGCUGUGAAAUCCCGAGGCUCAACCUCGGGCCUGCAGUGGGUACGGGCAGACUGGAGUGCGGUAGGGGAGAAUGGAAUUCCUGGUGUAGCGGUGAAAUGCGCAGAUAUCAGGAGGAACACCGGUGGCGAAGGCGGGUCUCUGGGCCGAUAUCGACGCUGAGGAGCGAAAGCGUGGGGAGCGAACAGG
rnacentral:rRNA from 1 species